AGCGCUUUUUUUGCAUUUAGCCCCUCACGAUUUUCUUUCACCAAUAGCCCAAUGAAAGUUAUAAUUACAAAAUUGGCCCUAUCCUCACCACGCAAACGCCACAUCAGCGGCUGACCAGCAUAAGUUGAACACAGUGAAUUAUUCAUCAUGUUUAGAUACGAUGAAUGGUUCAUCAUAUUUAAACUAAACUGCACUGCGAGACUGUUUAAGUUUUCUGCACUGUGAGGCUUGGCUACUGUUUAGCUCGUCCAAACAUGGUGAAUGAAUACGAUGAAUCAUUUACCGUGUUCAACUUAACUCUCCACAGUCGCUGACAUGACGCUUACAUGAUACUUGCGUAGCAGGGAUAGGGCCAGUUUUAUAAUUAUAAAUUUCGUAGGGUUAUUUAUGAAAAAAAUUUAAGAGGAAGCUAAAUGCAAAAAAAA
rnacentral:lncRNA from 1 species